AGUGGCUUAAAAUCUAGCUGCUAACCAGAAGGUUGGUGAUUCGAAUCCACCAGCCACUC
rnacentral:tRNA from 1 species